UCCUCUCUUUCUUUCAACUCUUUCUUUUCUUCCUUUGCUUGCGGCUGAACCAAGGAAAGGGGAGGAGAGGGGGGCCACGAAUUGGAGAGGGAGAGGGCUUCAAUGAUGCCCUAGGUCAACCCCCACGCCUCCUCUUAAAUAGCAUGUGGAGCUCCUACCCCACGCCUCCUCUUAAAUAGCAUGUGGAGCUCCUACUUUGUAGGAGCUCCUUGAUUAAAUUCCAAGAGGGGCAUCGGCCCCUCUUCUUUGCCGCACCAAGCAAGGAAAAGGAGGAGGGGCGUGUGCCCCUCCUUCAUGGUUAACCUAAUCCUCCUCUAAGGAGGAUUAGGAAGGUCACACUUGGUUAGGUCCUAAUCUAAUUAGAUUUGGACCAAGGGUGAACCAAUUUGGGUUUUAAUCUAGGUAAGUCCUAAUCCAAUUAGAACUUGAUGAGCCAUGACUCAAUUGAACCCUUCAAUCCUAAUCUAAUUAGGAGUCAUCUUGAUUCAUUAGAUUAAUAAUUAAUUGGAACUUAAGAAGUCCUAAUCCCAUUAGGAUUUAUUUAAUUCUAGUCCUAAUCCAAUUAGGACUCUAAUUUGAAUUCGAAGUCCUAAUUCGAUUAGGACU
rnacentral:lncRNA from 1 species